ACAUUCUGGGACAAUGAUGGAGUCAAUUUCUACAAGGCUGUGAAUGAAACAAUGGAAUAUCCUGUAAUCAUUAUCCUGGAAAGCUGCAGAGUUGGAACAUCGAAUGGUAAUGUCAUUCUAAAGAUAUAUUAGUUUAGGUUUGUCUUCAAUAAUUUGUUAAAAUUUUUGGCUGCAGAUGAAGUGGAUCUAGGAUGUACACACGCAACAAAGUACUACAUUAACUACAAGCAUCCAUGUGUCUUAAAUAUAAGGAAAAUAACACAGUUUUAGCACAUGUGAAAGUUAAAUCUGUACAAGAAACAAAAAACUGGUUCUACAAUUGCUGCACAACAUGCGACAGAGCCAUUCAACUGGAGAAUGAGUUCUUCUUCUGUACACACUGCAACAGAAUCAUACCACACCCUGAUAAGAAGUUCAAAAUACAAGUCCAGGCUUACAAUUCUACAGGAGAUAUAGAAAUUGUUCUCGGUGAUCGGCACUCGGCAGAUUCGUACUAUUAUUGGAAAAAGAGCAUAUAAUGUCAUCAAGAAGGAUGGUAAUGAAGAAGCUUUCCCACAAGAGCUGAGAACUAUAAUCAAUCAAGACUAUAGUGUGAUUCUAAGGAUUACUGAAAUUAACACUGCAAAUAAAAUCAACAUCUACUCAGCAACUAACAUAUGCAAAGGCUUCCAAAAACCUGAAACAGAAGUGGAGGAAAUCAUGGAAACCAGUGAACAAAUUGGAACUGAGGCAACAACUUCAACAUACCACCUUGACAGAAUGUCAACACAAACAACAAGGACCUAAAGCUAUGGUGGAUCACACAGCAGUCAUGAUUUUUUAUCAUAUCUCUUUAAUCUGUCUUCAAAAAAUAUUUGUGCUCAAGAAUGUAAUAUUGUAAACUUUGAACUUAUCAAGAUCACGGCCAAAAUGGUUUUUUAUUGUUGAUAUCAGCUCUUCUUA